rnacentral:rRNA from 1 species
AUGGAGCCGCUUCUCUCUGCAAUCGUGGGUGAUCUUGUCAGCAGAGCCCUGUCCAUGGUAACCCAGAGAUACCUGCAGUCCAAGGGAGCAGAGGAGGAGAAGCUCCAGAGGCUACGGGCAGUGCUGCUAAGGAUCGAUGCCACCGUCGAGGAGGCCGAGGGGAGGCACAUCACCAACCAGGCAAUGCUCCAGCAGCUCCAGAUGUUGAGACGAGGUAUGUACAGAGGCUACUACACGCUCGACACCUUCAGAUACCGAGCGCACAGGGACGAGGCCUAUGGCGAGGCGAGCACUCGCCGUUCGCUUGCCCUGUCCAGAUUCAGCCCUUCCAGUUCCAGACGUACCUUCUUCUCCGUGUGCGAUGCUCCGAGCAGGGACCUGGUGCUUGAUGCCGGGAGCUGCAGCAAUCUCGACAAGAUGCUCAGCAGCCUUGAGAGAAUGAUUGGUGACAUGCAGGAGUUCGUGAUGUUCUUGGCCAGCUAUCCUCGAAUCUCCCGGCAACCUUACAGCGCGUACUUGUUUCAUGAUCAGGUUAUGUUUGGCCGGCAGAUGGAAAAGGAGACAAUUUUGAGCUUUCUGCUUUGUAGGGAGGCUGCAAGGAAUGGAAGUCUGGGUGUGCUGCCGAUAAUUGGUCCAGCGAGAGUCGGAAAGAGUACACUUGUUGAGCAUGUCUGCCACGACGAGAGGGUGCGCAGGCGCUUCUCGUUGAUCGUCUUCUUCAGCGGGAAUGAUCUCAAUGGUGGAAACUUGGCUACUCUAAAAGGUAGCGGUGUGAUCAAGCAUCAGAAUCUUGCUUCCAGCCCGCGUGGAGACUCACUGGCUGUGAUUGAGCUAGCAGGGGACAUGGACGAGGAAACAUGGAGGGGGUUGUACACCUCGGCUGCAAACCACCUGACGCCAGGCAGUAAAAUCAUACUGACCAGCCGUUCAGAGAAGAUAGCAUCAUUAGGAACGGCACAGUCUCUUGUGCUGAAAUUUUUGUCCCAAGAAGCUUACUGGUAUUUCUUCAAGACGGCUGCAUUCGGAAGCACAGACCCUGAGUGCUGA